UAUUUGUGACCACGGGGCUCGUCGGCCGCACCCGCACGGCACGGGCGCCACCGCGGCAGCCGAGGCAUUGGCGGCGCAGGCGAGCCAGCCGCUGUUGUCUCGUCCCGCCGAGCAAGCGCGUCUGCUGCUUCCUACUGUGUAGCGUCGGAAAGCGGACGGCGGCGACGAUUAAUCGGCUCGUGCUGAACGGACUAGUGGCGGCGGCGGCGGACGGAGACGGCGCAUCUUCUUCACACGUUCAGGGCUGACUUCGGAGCAAAUUUCUUCACCGCGUCGUCUACAGAGAGGAAUAUCUUGUCAUCGCCAAUGAGCUCCGUGAAUUUUGCUGACCACAGCUUCUGGAUCACUGCCGGCCCGGGAUUGGCGAGGAUCAACUGUACCUUCCUAGCCUCUGGGUAUUGUUCAACAUUCGUGUAGAUUGUUGUCCUUGGAAGGUUACCGAGUAAAGCUGUUCUUGGCCGUGUUACUUGGAGAAGAAUUUUGCCAAGAGAUAUUGCAACCUAUUCCAUGCAAGAUCCACAAUCAUCAGCGAGGUCAGUAGGAGGAUUCAGUUGUAAUUAACAUGACAAAAAUUGUAGUAGUUCGCACCGCAAUGAGCAAGCCGUACUCCACUGAUGCAAAUACGACCCCAAAGAAUGCUCCUAGCAAUGCCAUGAAGUCCAUUUUAUCAACCUUCCAGAUAAGGUACGCCGUUUCAUAGUCAACUAGGCUAACCACUGCAUUUAUGAUGAUAGAAGCUAGAAUGGCAUUGGGUGUGUACUUGAACAAUGGAGUGAUCAACAACAGCGUAAGCAUCACUACAAUUGCCAUAACAACAUUGGAUAUGGCUGUUUUGCAGCCAGCCAUGUAAUUGACUGCUGAUCGAGACAUAGAACCUGCAGGGAACAUAUCUUGUCAGUAGAAUGCUAUAUAUGGGGUAUGUAACUUUUUUCUACUAAAAAUGUAGUCACCUGUGCCUACGUAGCAUGAAGUCAUUGAACCAACAAUGUUCAUUGUUCCUAGGGCCAGCAUUUCUUUAUUCCCAUCUAUUUGGUAGUCCUUCAUGGCAGCAAAUGUUCUUCCAAUUGCGAUUGCUUCCUAAAAAAGAUUGCAUUGGUUUUGACACAUUGCUGGGUAUGCUAAAAAAGUUCCAUGCAAUUGUAACUAAAAAGGCCAUAAAGGUUUUGUUACCGUUAAGCCGACCAUUCCGGCUACUACACCAAUUCUGAAUCCUUUUGCUAAGUAUGGGCCAGACCAAUAUAUGAGAUGAAAUGAUGGUGGAUUGAUGCCUUCCUUUAUAUCCUUGACCUGCAAUUAUCCAGUAAUUAAUCCACAUAGGUAUCUUCAAUUAAUUUGUUACUACUGAAAUUUCUGAUGGCAGAAGUUGCGAGUACUCAAGUUGACUUACAAUUGCAACACCCUGCUUGUCUGCACGGGUGAUGAACACACAGAAUGUGGAUACGAUCACUGAAAUGAGUGGAGCGAUUGCAGAAACCCAGAAGAGCUUUUUAUUCUUCUUGGCCUGAAUUAUCCCAGUGGAACAACAUGAUCAUCACAAAUAGUCGAGGAGAACCAAGAUGAAAUUCUGAACAUGUAGUAUUAAUCUUACAAUGUAUUUGGUAGUUAGAAGAAACGCCAAGAAGGAUGCUCCAAUCAAUAUCGUCUGCCAGUUACACUGAAUCAACAACAGCACAAGGACAAGUUGAUGAGAUAUUGGUCUUCAUGACAAGAGUAACAGAAUAUAUGGAAGGUAGGAUAUUCUUACCCCAUGGUGUACAUUUCCCCAUACUGAUUCCAUGACUGAGAUGAUGUCAGACUUCUUGGUGAAUUUUGCGAUGCCAAGGAAGCCUUUCAGCUGCUGAAGGCCAAUGGUGAUGGCUGCACCCGCCAUGAAACCAACGAUGGCUGCAUGAGAUAAGAACUCUAUGAUAAACCCUAGCCUGCAGCAGAUCAAUCGAGUCGGUUCAGAGACUGUCAGGUGUCCAUGCCAUAUGACAUCAGAAACUGGAAGUGGCGGGUCAGUAAACCAGGGACCACCCACGCUCACCUGAAGAAUCCGAGCAUUGCCUGAGUGAUCCCUGCGAAGAAUGUCGCGGUGAACGCCAGCCUGCUGUACUCAUAUGGAUUCUUAACCGGAUCGAUCUCUUCCUGGAGGAGAGUCCCGAGCAACAGCGACAGGACGGCCGCGGGACCGAUUGCUAUGUCCCUGGAAGUGCCCAUCACAGCGUAUACCAGAGGUGGAACGAAGCUACUGUCUGCAAACGAAAAUCGGCAACAUUCUGGUCAUUAUAGUUGCAGACUUGCAGGAGCAAAACUGGAAAUCCUGAAAUCUCAACAUUGAUGAAAAGAUAUCUUGAACUUACAGAGCCCAACAUGUGCUGGCAGGAAAGCAAGCUUGGCGUAACCGAUGUCCUGAUGUAAGAUAGCAUGAGAGAGCACAUGUCAGAGUACGUUGACAAGCCAGUGGAGGCUACGGUGCUGCUUUGCUAAGUUUGCUAGUUUGUUACCUGAGGUAUGCAGAGGCUGGCGAUGGUGAGGCCGGCGACGAAGUCCCCCUUGAACAUGCCGAAGGUGUAGCUUCUGGCCCAGUCCAGCACCGGAAAGAGAUGCACCAGGCUGAGCCACAGCUUCUUGGACCUCGGCUGGUCCUUGUACUCCCGCAGCGGGUCGUCGGCAAAGAAGGUCUCCUUCACCCCUUCGACUAACUCCGCAAAGAGGCCCUUCGCCGGCGGGAACCCGACCUUGUAUCCAUGGUAGUCUGUCUGGCGGUGCGACCCUGUCCUGGAGAUGUUGCCAUUGACGUCUUCACUUCCGUCCGCCAUGGUUCUCGACAUUGUCGCCGAAGUUUUUGCACUGCACGCCGGUGCAGGAUGGGAGUGUCUGUCUGUAAGUGAAGUAGUGAGAAGUGAAGUUAAACAUCCAUGAACGAGCACAUACAAACGCAUGAACAAGCACGAUUACCAGCUACAUGCAUGGUGCAAGUAAGGUCUUAGUUCCGAAUCAAAUGGAAUUGUUUUACUUACAGUAAGAAAACAAAGACCAGAAUGCUAUUCUUCAGAACCGAAGGAAGGAAUUCGAAACUUAUGCAUGAACAACAACAAUAUAUAUCAAGAAUGGAGCACCCAGCAGGACUGAUGUAUCAUUCAGUAGUCAGAACAAUGAAGAAUGGAGGAAGGAAGGAGAACCUACACAGCGAUGAAAAGCCCUGCUGCUUUUGUGUUGAUUGCUCAGAAGCCAAGGAAUGUUCAUUAUACAUAGAUGCGGAGAAGCUCCCGUCGCCAUCAAAGGUCAACUCCUCUUUUUUGAUUGGUGGGCUGCAAAUUAUGAAUCUACGUCGAGGAUUGCGCCAUAUUAAACAUUGCGCAUGCAGAAAACACCUACCUGAUGGACUGGUUAUUCUCACAGCUCAUCACUCGCUCAACUUGUAAAUUAUCUUGCAGAACACAACCGGAGUUGAAAGAAUGUGCAUCUGCUCUAUCUGCUGAACAAGCAGACUGGCUAUGAGCUCUCCCUGGUGGCUUUCAUCUGUUUAUCAAGACAUCAUAUCAUAACCUGGCUAGUUGCUGUUUACCCUGCCUUGUGUAUGCAUGCAUGCAGACAUGCAGUUACACUCAUCCUUUCAAGGCUGUUCAAGGGGCCUAUUGAUCAGAGUCAUAAAGGGGAUAAAAUAUAGCAGCAUCUCAUCAACUAGUAGUUAAGCAAUCGAUCUGUUUCUGCGACGACUAGCUUUGUCGAUCUCCAGUUUGAUCCUGCUGCAUUAAGCAAUCGAUCUGUUUUGCGACGACUGGCUUUGUUGAUCUCCAGUCUGAUCCUGCUGCAGAUCAUGCUCUGUCGACGGUGCAUAAUUAGAAUUAACAACUGCAUUAUUGGGGCCUGCCUCGUCCCGGAGACAGCUUGUUAAGUAGAGUAUGUUGUAACAUGCCAUAAGCAGAGGAGCUCGUGCACAAGUCCACAACUACGUUGAAGAAACUAGUAUAUUUUAUCCCCUCUAUGAGUUUGAUCAGUAGGCCACUUGAACAAUCAUGGAAAGGAUGAGUAACUGCAUGCCUACACAAGGCAGCGUUGUCAAUGAUGUAUUGCUGUGUUGUACUGUUGUGCUUCCCUCAGCCAUGGAUCAAAUAUUUGGAGGAAAUCCUUACCAGUUCUAGUAAAUAAAUACUACCUCCGUCCCAAAAUAAAUGUUUUAACUUUGUACUAACUUUAAUGCAAAGUUGUACUAAGCUUGAGACACUUAUUUUUGGACAGAGGAAGUAUGUCUGUUCUAUUUCUAGACCAGAGCUGAAAAUUUAGUCAUGAGUUAACCUUGUGCAUUUUUCGACAAAGAGAGUAUAUUAAUAUCAAAGAUAUCAGUUCCACCCAGUCUCUGCACCAAACUAAUGUCAAGAACUAGAGACUUCAAGGAUGCACACAACCAAAAGGAUAAAAAAAGAAGAAAGAAAAAAAGACCCAACCACAGUGAUCAACCACUCGCAGCAGCCGAACCCAAACCACCACCAAUGACAGCAUCCGAACUACAAAGGAGGUUCUUCAAAAGUGACGCCUCUAGGAAGCAAACAGUGCACAAGCGCCUUCACUGCCCGAUCAACAUAUCUAAGGUUUUCACCCUGGAGAAAUUCCGAGCUCUCGCCAGGUACAACCAAUGAAGGUCAGACCUAGAGUUUUCACCCUGGAAAUCGAGACUCUUACUCAAGGAGCACCACUAAAAUUGAAGUCCCCAAGUGCUGCCAUCCCCACUUGCCGAGGCCACCGCUGCCUAAUCACCAGGCUCACAGGCAUCACGCGUGCGGUUUGCACAAGAACAUCGUCCAACAGCAGGACCGUACCCACAUAUCAACCUCUGAAGCAUUGUUUUCAUCGCAUCCAAGACCCCCAGCUCCGCCGUUACUUAACAGUCUCAAACUCGACUUGAGCCAUCGAGAUCUUUUGGUCUUCCAAUCUUAGCCACCUUGACAUUCCCCACCUCUAUCAACAUCAUGGAGUUUGCGGCAUAUAUGCUGAUGUACCCCAUGGUGUCGAUGGAAACCGGAGCUUCACGAUGUUCCCCCUUGAAGCCACACGGUUGAUGUUUCCGGACGCGCAUGACCGGAUCCCAUCCGAUCCAGAAUUCCAGGAGUGCCAUGCACCAAUCCGUGAAGACCGCCGAUGAAGGAGUACGGAACUUGUCGGCGGCCUGAUCGAGGACGACCGGCAGUAGUAAGGUUAGUGAGUUGGACUGGAGAAAAACACUAGGGCUGCCGCCCUUCCUUCCUUUUCCCCGUCAGCGUCCCCUCACAUGGGACGACCUCCACCUUUGGCGCGCCUCCCCGAGGAAACCCAACCUCCUUCGGAAAUAGGGCCUGCCGCCACCGCAGCAGAGGCUAGAGGCAGUGGCAGCAAGGGAGGUCACAUUAGACGGCGACUAGUGGCGGCGCUAGGGUUUGGCUCUUGGCGUCGCCUGGGGAGCGACAUCCAGGACUGAACCGUUCCGCCCAGUUAACCUUGUGUGUAUAAGCUCAUUCGAAGGAAGCGAUUUUCAGUAUAUGUUGUAGAGCUGUAUGUGUACCUCUACCAAAAUCUUGUGCUCGUCAUUCAGGCAUUGUGACAAUGAAUGUUGCAAGGACUGAUGUCAUGGAUUCAGCCCGCCGCCAAUGACGAUGAGGUCGGCGGCUCCGGCGUGGGGUGAUCAAUAUCCCCUCCAACCAGGAGUAGAGCUCCGCUUAUCUGGUGAUGCUUUAGCUCGUUUAACGUUGGUGUAGUGGAAAUGUACUUGGUAAUUAACUGUUCAAGUAUGUUAGGUUUGAUGUUAAUGUGGUAUUGUCAUUUAAUUAUCCAAUGAAAUAGUUUAAAUGCGUGUUUCAAAUGAAUUUGUGUGAAAAUUUUGUGUUCGGCUUUUUUUUUUUUGGAAAGAUCGGCUAGAUGGACAAACUCUAUUUCCUAAAAAAGUAAGGAAUUAGAUUAGAGGAUGAUGAAUACGAUGAGGGAGUUUUGAAAGAUCGGCUAGAGACGCUCUAAUACCCCAAAGCUAGAAUGCACAAGCAAGCAACUCAUCUUAUCGGAGUAGUGUAGGAAUCUUUAGUGUAUCCAUUCCACUCAGCCAAAUGCAAAACCUCUUUAUAAAGCCUUGAAGUACAAACACUAACAAGAUACAAUGAUACAGAUCCAAAAACUGGAGAGGGAAGAAAACCCCAAAGAUGGGUCAUAAUAAACCUCCAUCCAACUGCUCGCCAACACACACCACAACCACGGCACACUGAUGCAGAUGUCCAACUAGGCCACCAUCUCCCCCUUUCUCACCAACCACACCUUGCAAACCUGAUGCGCUCCAACUCCACACACCUCCAUUAUUUACCUUUGCACGAACUAUGGCGUGUACCUCUGUGUUCCUUGCUCUAUAAAAAUAACACCAACACAUCUCUUUGCAUCGCCUGUACAAUGCUUCGCUCGACGCACCUUCUUCAGACGUUCAGGGCUGACUUUGGAGCAAAUUUCUUCACCGCAUCACCGACCGACAGGAAUAUCUUGUCGUCGCCGAUGAGCUCCGUGAAUUUCGCUGAUCGCAGCUUCUGAAUCACUGCUGGCCCGGGAUUGGCGAGGAUCAGCUGUAAGUGGCACACAUGGAUUUUGUUCUUAAUUAAGUGUUUCUUCCAUGAACAUUCUUGCUGUAGCAACUAAUAGUUAUACAAUUCUGCUCCUAGUUUUUGGUAUUUUACCUGAAUUUUGCGCUUUUCAAGUGCUUUCAGCAACUCCUCCAAGGCAUGGAUUCCACUCGUGUCGAUAUCAGUUACCGCUGUUGAAGAGUUAGUAGAUCAGUGUUUAGAAAUAAAUAAAUAAAAUAGUAUUUUCCUUAUUAUAAAAUAUAGUAAAUCCUUGUCUCCUUACGAGAUAGCUCAACAAUGAGAAACUCUGUUUUGUACAGCUUCUGUUCCUGUUGUUGGUCCUCCUCGUCCCUCAGCCAUCUUAGGAUUCUGAAAAAUAAGAUUAUUAGUUCCUAUACUAGUAAUCAUGCCAGUGACUGAAAUAACUCAGUAAAAUCUUGUAGAAAAGAACUUUACCUCUCUUUAACAUAAUUGGAGUUUGUGAAGUAGAUGGCUGAGUCCACUCGGACAAUCAUAAUCCCGGGCACCUUGGCAGCUUCUGGGUAUUGUUCAACAUUCCUAUAGAUCGUUGUUCUUGGAAGGUUACCGAGUAAAGCUGUUCUCGGCCGUGUUACUUGGAGUAGAAUUUUUCCAAGAGAUAUUGCAACCUAUUCCAUGCAAGAUCCACAUUCAUUAAGCAUGUCAAUAGGAGGAAUUCAGUUGUAAUUAACAUGACAAAAAUUGUAGUAGUUCGCACCGCAAUGAGCAAGCCGUACUCCACUGAUGCAAAUACGACCCCAAAGAAUGCUCCUAGCAAUGCCACGAAGUCCAUUUUAUCAACCUUCCAUAUAAGGUAGGCUGUCUCAUAGUCAACUAGGUUAACCACUGCAUUUAUGAUGAUAGAAGCCAGAAUGGCAUUGGGCGUGUACUUGAACAAUGGAGUGAUCAAUAACAGUGUGAGCAUCACUACAAUUGCCAUUACAACAUUGGAUACUGCUGUUUUGCAGCCAGCCAUGUAAUUGACUGCUGAUCGUGAGAAAGAACCUGCAGCGAACAUAUCUUUUCAGUAGAAUGCUAUAUUUGUAUGGGAUAGGUACCAAUUUAAAACUACAUUAGUAGUCACCUGUGGCUACAUAGCACGAAGUCAUUGAACCAACAACGUUCAUGGUUCCUAGAGCCACCAUUUCUUUGUUCCCAUCUAUUUGGUAGUCCUUCAUGCCAGCAAAUGUUCUUCCAAUUGCAAUUGCUUCCUAAAAGGUUUGCAUUAGUUUUGACAUUGUUGGAUAUCCUUAAAAAAAAAUCCACGCAGAAAAAAUUGAAACUGAAAUGGUAAUGAAGUUUUUAUUACCGUAAGGGCAACCAUUCCAGAUACUACACCAAUUCUGAAUCCUUUCGCCAAGUAUGGGCCAGACCAAUAUAUGAGAUGAAAUGAAGGUGGAUUGAUGCCUUGUUUUAUAUUCUUGACCUGCAAUUAAUUAGUGAUUAGCCCAUAUUGUUGUCUUCAACUAACUUGUUACCACAGAUACUCUGAUGGAAAAAGUGGUAGGUAGUCAAGUACGACUUACAAUUGCAACACCCUGCUUGUCUGCACGGGUGAUGUACACACAAAAGGUGGAUAUGACCACUGAAAUGAGAGGAGCGAUUGCAGAAACCCAGAAGAGCUUUUUAUUCUUCUUGGCCUGAAUUAUCCCAAUGGAACGGCAUGAUCAUCACAAAUAGUCAAGGAGAACUAAGAUGAAAUUUUGCACAUGUUAUAUUAUUAUCUUACAAUGUAUUUGGUAGUUAGAAGAAACGCCAAGAAGGACGAUCCAAUCAAUAUCGUCUGCCAGUUCCACUGAAUCAACAUUGCAAUUGUAAGUUUUAUGAAAUAUUUUAUUUCAUACCAGAAGUAAAAUGUAUAUGAAAGGUAUGAUAUUCUUACCCCAUGGUGAACAUUUCCCCAUACUGAUUCCAUGACCGAUAUGAUGUCAGACUUCUUAGUAAAUUUCGCGAUGCCAAGUAAGCCUUUCAGCUGCUGAAGGGCAAUGGUGAUGGCGGCACCCGCCAUGAAGCCGACGAUUGCCGCGUGAGACAAGAACUCUAUGAUAAACCCUAGCCUGCAGCAGAGCCCGGUCAGAGACUACAUAAAAUAGAUGAGGUAUUCAAGUGUUCAUGCCAACAUGUCAUCGUGAACUGGAAAGUUAACAGGCACCGGGGGGCCAUGCUCACCUGAAGAAUCCGAGCAUUGCCUGAGUGAUCCCCGCAAAAAAGGUUGCGGUGAACGCCAGCCGGCUGUACUCAAGUGGAUUCUUUACCGGGUCGAUCUCUUCCUGGAGGAGAGUGCCGAGCAACAGCGACACGACGGCCACUGGACCGAUGGCUAUGUCCCUGGAACUGCCCAUCAGGGCGUAUAUCAAAGGCGGGACGAAGCUACUGUCUGCAAAAAGGAUCCAGCAAAACUCUGGUCAUUCUAGCUGCAUGCAUAUUUGCAGGAGCAAAACUGGGCAUUCUACCGUGUUUUAUGUGAACUUACACAGUCCAACGUGUGGUUGCAGGUUGGCAAGCUUGGCAUAACCAAUAUCCUGGUGUAAGAUAAGACACCAUUGGAGAGCGCAUGUAAGAUAAAUCAAACAACUGUACCGUGAUUGCUGCAUGCAAGAAGAAUAGACACCUACUAUACCUGAGGUAUGCAGAGGCUGGCGAUGGUGAGGCCGGCGACCAAGUCCCCCUUGAACUUGCCGAAGGUGUAGCUCCUGCCCCAGUCCAGCACCGGGAAGAGGUGCACCAGGCUGAGCCACAGCUUCUUGGACCUCGGCUGGUCCUUGUACUCCCGCAACGGGUCGUCGGCGAAGAACGUCUCCUUCACCCCAUCAGCGAACUCCGCGAAGAGGCCCUUCACCGGCGGGAACCCGACCUUGUAGCCAUGGUGGUGGUGAGUGCUGUUGCUGUCUGUGUGACGGCGCGACCCCGGCUGACUGGAGACGUCGCCAUCAAAGUCUUCACCUCCGUCGGACACGGUUCUCGGCAUUAUCACCGACAAGGUUGCUUGUGCCUAUGUGCAGAUGGAUACGUCUGCCUGUAAAUGAAGCAGAACAUCAAUCCCUAUGCCGAAAGAGAUAAUUUACAAUACACUGCGAAUGGUGACGUUGGAUACACAUGAACUCUCCAUGUUUGUUUCUGAUGGAAAAAUCAUCAGCACUACAGAUCAAAUAAAGCAUACACAACA